ACCGAGGAGGCCCCCCCCACAAAGACGUGUUGCAAAAAUCCCUGUGGGAUUUUACUCAGGUUUUGCAUUGAAAAGAAACAGCACGAAAUUUAGCGUCUUUAGCUUUUUUAGCUGGGAAGUGUCUUUCGUAAAUUAGAGGGAGGGAGGCCGGCCGGCAGUCAGGGGAGGAGUCAGCCGGCCCUUUCCAGUUAGCAAAGUUCAGGCGGCUGCAAAGUCACUGCUCUUUAGGUUCGGACGCGCUGGCGUAACCUCGUAUCACCUCGUGAGCUGGUUUUAAACAGGUUUUAAAACCCUGAGAUGCAUGUGGGGUGUCACCCAUCCCCGAGGCUCGACUGCCAGAGCGGGGGAACACAGUGUCUGUUGUCCUCCAGCUCCCCGGGAGGAGCCAGGUUGUAGUCUGCAAAUGUCUGGUCCGGCCCCGGAGGCCUGACGGCGAAGGACUGGCGGCCGCCGAGGGCUGAGGAGGGAGCACGCGAGCGAGCGAGCGAGCGCGGGCGCGCGGGCACGGAGCCGGGUCCCGCCGGCAGCCCAGGCGCCGCCCCCUGUCUUCCCCGCCCCGGCACGUCGGGGGGUUCCGGGCGCCGAGACUGCAGGGGCCCCCAUGGAGGCGGCCUCGCCGGCGGGACCCCGCGUCUCGCAGCUGUACGCGCCGGCACCGGCGGCCUCGCUGGGCAGCCUGCUGCGCGGGCUCAAAGGCCAGCUCUUCACCUGGAACCUUGUGAAAAGACUCUCGAAUUUUGGCAAGAUGAUACCUACAUUUUCGGGUUGAAUGAAAAUCCAGUAAGUUAAUGUACAUACGAGGUGAGUACAGCGGCUGUCACUAGUCUCCCUUCCUUAUAUGGCAUCGAGGACGAGUCCUAAUAUGUUUCCCCUGUAUUCUUGACUAUCUAAGAGUCCUGCAGGACGGAAUAUGUAGGAAGUGAUCACUGAAUUUACAGUUUCUACUUUUGAUGGUUUGCAUAAAACUAGUUCAGUAGUUUGUGGUUUGAUGGCAUGGUUGCAUUUUCUCCCUGGCAAAUGAUGGAAGUGUUUUAAUCCAGGAUGACUCUUGAUCAGCUUUGUCUGCAGUGAUUUAAAAGACUCUUGUUUAUAUGAUGUAACUGUCUUGUUACUAAGGAAAUUCAUUGAGGUGAAUAUAAAUAGUUAUAACAUUAUGAUUCAAGUGUUAUUUCAAGGUAUCACACCCAUUGUCGACCUAGCAUGUUACUUUUCUAUUACUGUUAAAAAACCACCACAAACCUUAUUAUCUGACAGUUCUGAAGGACAGAAAUCGGACACGGGUCUCACCGGGGAGAGUUGAUUUCCUCGUCUCUUCUGCGUCUGCGGCUGCCUGCCUUCUUGGGCUCCGGCCGCCCUCCUCCAUCUGCAAAGCCAGCAACGCUGCAUGUCUCUCUGACUCUCCUCCUGUGGUCACAUCUCCUUCUGACAACAGCUGGGAGAGGUUCUCCCUUUUAAGAACGCGGGUGAUUAGAUGGAGCUGACUGGAUAAAUCCAGGGUAACCUCCCCAGAGCCUGGGAUCAUGAUCUGAGCUGAAACCAAGAGCCAGAUGCUUAACGUACUGAGCCACCCAGGCUCCCCUUUGGUAGGAAUUAUAUGGACGACUUCAUUAUGUAGGCACAGGUGAUGAAAUCAUUGGUCAUUAGUGAAUGGCUCAGUCUCCAGCCUUCUCCCCUCCCUGGGGUGGGGCUGAAAGUUCCAACCCUCUAAGCGCAGGUUAGCUCCCUGGGUAACAGCUCC
ensembl:lncRNA